rnacentral:lncRNA from 1 species
CAUUAGGUCCACACCGGGCGGGAUCUGGUAGUGAGGGGACGGAUCGUUUUCUGAGAGGCCAGCAGAGGGAGCCGAGAAGCAAGCUUUCCUCACGCCUCGCAUUCCUGUGGAUAUGGGAUGUAGACAAACAGGGUAAUCGUGUUACUGUUUUUGAGAGAGGCCUUACGGAGACGACAAGCGCCUCCAUUUGCACCAUAAAGGAAACAGCUAAUGACUGGAGACAGAGAGCUUGAGGUUGAUUUUCUGCUAGUCUGCAGGUGAGUCAAAGAGAUAAUACGGAAAUGAAAAGGAGACUCAGCCACAGAAAGGGAGGGAAAAACAAUAAUUCG